CCCGCUUGCGGGGGUGAUUAGUGGCGAACGGGUGAGUAAUACGUGAGUAACCUGCCCUUGACUCUGGGAUAAGCCUGGGAAACCGGGUCUAAUACUGGAUACGACCCCCCAUCGCAUGGUGGGGGGUGGAAAGGGUUUGACUGGUUUUGGAUGGGCUCACGGCCUAUCAGCUUGUUGGUGGGGUAAUGGCUCACCAAGGCGACGACGGGUAGCCGGCCUGAGAGGGUGACCGGCCACACUGGGACUGAGACACGGCCCAGACUCCUACGGGAGGCAGCAGUGGGGAAUAUUGCACAAUGGGCGCAAGCCUGAUGCAGCGACGCCGCGUGAGGGAUGACGGCCUUCGGGUUGUAAACCUCUUUCAGCAGGGAAGAAGCCACAAGUGACGGUACCUGCAGAAGAAGCGCCGGCUAACUACGUGCCAGCAGCCGCGGUAAUACGUAGGGCGCAAGCGUUGUCCGGAAUUAUUGGGCGUAAAGAGCUCGUAGGCGGUUUGUCGCGUCUGCUGUGAAAGCCCGGGGCUCAACCCCGGGUCUGCAGUGGGUACGGGCAGACUAGAGUGCAGUAGGGGAGACUGGAAUUCCUGGUGUAGCGGUGAAAUGCGCAGAUAUCAGGAGGAACACCGAUGGCGAAGGCAGGUCUCUGGGCUGUUACUGACGCUGAGGAGCGAAAGCAUGGGGAGCGAACAGGAUUAGAUACCCUGGUAGUCCAUGCCGUAAACGUUGGGCACUAGGUGUGGGGGACAUUCCACGUUCUCCGCGCCGUAGCUAACGCAUUA
rnacentral:rRNA from 1 species